UGCAAGUCGAACGCAGUAGCAAUACUGAGUGGCAGACGGGUGAGUAACAUGUGGGAAUCUGCCUUGUGGUUCAGGACAACAUUGGGAAACUGAUGCUAAUACUGGAUAAGCCCUUACGGGGAAAGUUUUAAUGCCAUAAGAUGAGCCCGCAUUUGAUUAGUUAGUUGGUGAGGUAAUGGCUCACCAAGACAAUGAUCAAUAGCUGAUCUGAGAGGAUGAUCAGCCACACUGGGACUGAGACACGGCCCAGACUCCUACGGGAGGCAGCAGUGGGGAAUCUUGCACAAUGGAGGAAACUCUGAUGCAGCGAUGCCGCGUGAGUGAAGAAGGCCUUUGGGUUGUAAAGCUCUUUUGUAGGGGAAGAUAAUGACUGUACCCUAAGAAUAAGGUCCGGCUAACUUCGUGCCAGCAGCGGGGGUAAUACGAAGGGACCUAGCGUAGUUCGGAAUUACUGGGCGUAAAGCGCGCGUAGGCCGUUGAGUUAGUUAAUUGUGAAAUCCCAAAGCUUAACUUUGGAACUGCAAUUAAAACUGCUCGACUAGAGUUUGAUAGAGGAAAGCGGAAUACAUAGUGUAGAGGUGAAAUUCGUAGAUAUUAUGUAGAACACCAGUUGCGAAGGCGGCUUUCUGGAUCAACACUGACGCUGAGGCGCGAAAGUAUGGGUAGCAAAGAGGAUUAGAUACCCUCGUAGUCCAUACCA
rnacentral:rRNA from 1 species